rnacentral:rRNA from 1 species
CACUCCUGCGGGAGGCAGCAGUGGGGAAUAUUGGACAAUGGGCGCAAGCCUGAUCCAGCCAUGCCGCGUGAGUGAUGAAGGCCCUAGGGUUGUAAAGCUCUUUCACCGGUGAAGAUAAUGACGGUAACCGGAGAAGAAGCCCCGGCUAACUUCGUGCCAGCAGCCGCGGUAAUACGAAGGGGGCUAGCGUUGUUCGGAUUUACUGGGCGUAAAGCGCACGUAGGCGGACUAUUAAGUCAGGGGUGAAAUCCCGGGGCUCAACCCCGGAACUGCCUUUGAUACUGGUAGUCUUGAGUUCGAGAGAGGUGAGUGGAAUUCCGAGUGUAGAGGUGAAAUUCGUAGAUAUUCGGAGGAACACCAGUGGCGAAGGCGGCUCACUGGCUCGAUACUGACGCUGAGGUGCGAAAGCGUGGGGAGCAAACAGGAUUAGAUACCCUUGUAGUCCCAU